UGGGGAAUCUUGCGCAAUGCGCGAAAGCGUGACGCAGCAACGCCGCGUGGGGGAAGAAGGCCUUCGGGUUGUAAACCCCUUUCAGGAGGGACGAAGGUACGGCGGUGAAUAGCCGUCCGUACUGACGGUACCUCCAGAAGAAGCCCCGGCUAACUACGUGCCAGCAGCCGCGGUAAUACGUAGGGGGCAAGCGUUGUCCGGAAUCAUUGGGCGUAAAGCGCGCGUAGGCGGCCCGGUAAGUCCGCUCUGAAAGUCCAGGGCUCAACCCUGGAAAGCGGGUGGAUACUGCCGGGCUAGAGUCCGGAAGAGGCGAGUGGAAUUCCUGGUGUAGCGGUGGAAUGCGCAGAUAUCAGGAGGAACACCAAUAGCGAAGGCAGCUCGCUGGGACGGUACUGACGCUAAGGCGCGAAAGCGUGGGGAGCGAACAGGAUUAGAUACCCUGGUAGUCCACGCCGUAAACGAUGGGCACUAGUUGUGGGAGGUGUCGACUCCUUCCGUGACGUCGCUAACGCAUUAAGUCG
rnacentral:rRNA from 1 species